rnacentral:rRNA from 1 species
CCCUUAGAUGUUCUGGGCCGCACGCGUGCUACACUGAGUGGAUCAGCGGGUCAGGUUGCGCGAAAGUGUUUCCUAAUCUUUAAAUCCGCUCGUGAUGGGGAUUGACGGUUGCAAUUUUCCGUCAUGAACGAGGAAUACCUUGUAAGCGCGGGUCAUCAUCCCGCGCUGAAUACGUCCCUGCCCUUUGUACACACCGCCCGUCGCUCCUACCGAUUGAGUGGUCCGGUGAGGCUUUGGGAUCUGAGCGGAAAGAGCGUUUCGCUGUUUCUGCCCGGAAAACUCAGUCGAACCUUAUCAUUUAGUGGAAGGAGAAGUCGUAACA